rnacentral:tRNA from 1 species
CCCCUGGUAGCUCAGUUGGUAGUAGCGCCUGUCUGAAGAACAGGAGGUCGUCGGUUCGAUUCCGACCUGGGGGGCUA